rnacentral:snRNA from 1 species
GUAAUUCCUUCAUUUUCAU